rnacentral:rRNA from 1 species
CGCGGCCUAUCAGCUUGUUGGUGGGGUAAUGGCCUACCAAGGCGACGACGGGUAGCCGGCCUGAGAGGGCGACCGGCCACACUGGGACUGAGACACGGCCCAGACUCCUACGGGAGGCGGCAGUGGGGAAUAUUGCGCAAUGGGCGAAAGCCUGACGCAGCGACGCCGCGUGAGGGAUGACGGCCUUCGGGUUGUAAACCUCUUUCAGCAGGGAUGAAGCGCAAGUGACAGUACCUGCAGAAGAAGCACCGGCUAACUACGUGCCAGCAGCCGCGGUAAUACGUAGGGUGCAAGCGUUGUCCGGAAUUAUUGGGCGUAAAGAGCUCGUAGGCGGUUUGUCGCGUCGGAUGUGAAAACCCAGGGCUCAACCCUGGGCCUGCAUUCGAUACGGGCAGACUAGAAUUCGGUAGGGGAGUCUGGAAUUCCUGGUGUAGCGGUGAAAUGCGCAGAUAUCAGGAGGAACACCGGUGGCGAAGGCGGGACUCUGGGUCGAUAUUGACGCUGAGGAGCGAAAGCGUGGGGAGCGAACAGGAUUAGAUACCCUGGUAGUCCACGCCGUAAACGUUGGGCGCUAGGUGUGGGGAACCUUCCACGCUCUCCGUGCCGCAGCUAACGCAUUAAGCGCCCCGCCUGGGGA